UACGGAGGGUGCGAGCGUUAUCCGGAUUCACUGGGUUUAAAGGGUGCGUAGGUGGGCAGGUAAGUCAGUGGUGAAAUCUCCGGGCUUAACCCGGAAACUGCCAUUGAUACUAUCGGUCUUGAAUACCGUGGAGGUGAGCGGAAUAUGUCAUAUAGCGGUGAAAUGCUUAGAUAUGACAUAGAACACCAAUUGCGAAGGCAGCUCACUACACGAAUAUUGACACUGAGGCACGAAAGCGUGGGGAUCAAACAGG
rnacentral:rRNA from 1 species